rnacentral:rRNA from 1 species
AACGAACGCUGGCGGCGCGCCUAAUACAUGCAAGUCGAGCGAGAAGACGUAGCAAUACGUUUGUAAAGCGGCGAACGGUUGAGGAAUACAUGGGUAACCUACCCUCGAGUGGGGAAUAACUAGCCGAAAGGUUAGCUAAUACCGCGUACGCUCCUUGGACUUCGGUUCAGGGAGGAAAGCGAUACCGUGGGUAUCGCGCUCUUGGAUGGGCUCAUGUCCUAUCAGCUUGUUGGUGAGGUAACGGCUCACCAAGGCUUCGACGGGUGGCUGGUCUGAGAGGACGAUCAGCCACACUGGCACUGCGACACGGGCCAGACUCCUACGGAGGCAGCAGUAAGGAAUAUUGCGCAAUGGGCGAAAGCCUGACGCAGCGACGCCGCGUGGGGGA